rnacentral:rRNA from 1 species
UACGUAGGUGGCAAGCGUUAUCCGGAAUUACUGGGCGUAAAGCGCACGCAGGCGGUCUUUUAAGUUUGACGUGAAAGCUCCCGGCUUAACUGGGAGAGGUCGUUGAAUACUGGAAGACUUGAGGCAAUGAGAGGGGUGUAGAAUUCCCGGUGUAGUGGUGGAAUGCGUAGAUAUCGGGGGGAAUACCAGUGGCGAAAGCGGCACCCUAGCGUUAGCCUGACGCUCAUGUGCGAAAGCGUGGGGAGCGAACCGG